rnacentral:rRNA from 1 species
UGAUGAAAGCGGCGGACUGGUGAGUAACGCGUGGGUGACCUACCUUGAGGAUGGGGAUAGCUGUUAGAAAUAGCAGGUAAUACCGAAUACGUUCACAAUAUUAUGAUUAUGUGAAGAAAGGAGCUACGGCUCCGCCUUGAGAUGGGCCCGCGUCCCAUUAGCUAGUUGGUGAGGUAAAGGCCCACCAAGGCGAAGAUGGGUAGCCGGCCUGAGAGGGUGAACGGCCACACUGGGACUGAGAUACGGCCCAGACUCCUACGGGAGGCAGCAGCUAAGAAUAUUCCACAAUGGACGAAAGUCUGAUGGAGCGACGCCGCGUGGAUGACGAAGGCCGAAAGGUUGUAAAAUCCUUUUGCGGAUGAAGAAUAAGCGGUGGAGGGAAUGCCAUCGUGAUGACGUUAGUCCGCGAAUAAGCCCCGGCUAAUUACGUGCCAGCAGCCGCGGUAACACGUAAGGGGCAAGCGUUGUUCGGAAUUAUUGGGCGUAAAGGGCGCGUAGGCGGCCGCGUAAGUCUGAUGUGAAAACCCCGGGCUCAACCCGGGAACUGCAUUGGAAACUGUGCGGCUUGAGUCACGGAGGGGAAAUCGGAAUUCCUGGUGUAGGGGUGAAAUCUGUAGAUAUCAGGAAGAACACCGGUGGCGAAGGCGGAUUUCCAGCCGAUGACUGACGCUGAGGCGCGAAAGUGCGGGGAGCAAACAGGAUUAGAUACCCUGGUAGUCCGCACUAUAAACGAUGCACACUAGGUGUCGGGACGAGCGUCUCGGCGCCGGAGCGAACGCGAUAAGUGUGCCGCCUGGGGAGUAUGCCCGCAAGGGUGAAACUCAAAGGAAUUGACGGAUCACUAGUGAA